rnacentral:rRNA from 1 species
UUGAACGCUGGCGGCCUGCCUUACACAUGCAAGUCGAACGGUAACAGGUUAAGCUGACGAGUGGCGAACGGGUGAGUAAUGUAUCGGAACGUGCCCAGUCGUGGGGGAUAACUGCUCGAAAGAGCAGCUAAUACCGCAUACGACCUGAGGGUGAAAGCGGGGGAUCGCAAGACCUCGCGCGAUUGGAGCGGCCGAUAUCAGAUUAGGUAGUUGGUGAGGUAAAGGCUCACCAAGCCGACGAUCUGUAGCUGGUCUGAGAGGACGACCAGCCACACUGGGACUGAGACACGGCCCAGACUCCUACGGGAGGCAGCAGUGGGGAAUUUUGGACAAUGGGCGCAAGCCUGAUCCAGCCAUGCCGCGUGCGGGAAGAAGGCCUUCGGGUUGUAAACCGCUUUUGUCAGGGAAGAAAAGGUUCUGGCUAAUACCUGGGACUCAUGACGGUACCUGAAGAAUAAGCACCGGCUAACUACGU